AUUUCCUCCCCUCCCCCUCCUCCUCCCUUCAACCAACCAGCCUCCCGUCAGAGAGGGGCAUGCGCAGUGAGUGCCUCCCGUCUCUUCUACCCGAACCCCCCUCCCCCCCCAAGCAGAGAGACCCCAGCAGCAGCAGCAGCUGAUGAUGAAGAGAGAGGCAGUGGCAGAGGGGGGGCACCUUUUAUUUCUAUUUUUAAAGGGACAGGACACUAAUUUUACCCCACUUCAACCUUGAAUUGAGGGGGGUGGGGGGAAGGCGGCUGAGUUCCUUCCCCCACCCUCCAGCCUGGAGCCCUGAGAGGGGGAUUGAGCCUGAGAGAGAAGGAGAAGGAGUUUCUUCCUCUUCGAAAACCUCCAUCCACGACUCCUACCCCCUCACCCCUCCACUCGCUUCCCUCCGGAGCCCCCUCCACCCUCCUUCUCUUUGGCCGUGAGAGGAGGAGAGAAAGAGACCAAAAGCCUCUUAGCAACACAGACCCUUUGCUGUUGCUGCUGCUGCUGCUGUGGCUGCUGCUGUUGCUACUGCUGCUACUGCUGCUUGGCCCUGGCUGGAGACAUCUCACUACACCCAGGAGCAGCCACUUCCCCAGCUCUCCUCCUCCUCCUUCGCCUCCUCCUCCUCCACUCCCCCCCUUUAUUACCCUUUGUGUCAUCCUCCACAGCUCCAGGGAAGGCACUCAAAAGUGGGGGGCAGGAAAGACAAUUAUCAACUUGCCAGUUUUCUAUGGAUAUGAAGAUUUACUCCUAGUCUUCAAUGGGACCCCAUGAAGUCAGCCAGAAAGCCUAUGUCCAACUUAUGUACCUUUGCAAACUUGUCUGGAUUUUGAAUGUAUGUGCAAAACAGAUUGUACUUAGCUAUUCAUUAAACAUCUAUGGAGCAUCUGCUGUCUGUCAGGCACUGUGCUAGGCAUGUGAACAAACAAGAAUGGUCCCUGCAAUUUAAUGUAAAGAGAUUUCUUAAUUGUAUUCCACAAGUGUAUUGGUCAUAUAUUUACUUUGGUUUACCUAAAUGAAUUUUAUAUUAACUAAAUGAAUAUUGUUAGGUAGAAUAAUGCAUGUUUAAGAAGGAUAUUGCUGUAUUUUAUUAAUAUAGAAAAGAUAAAUUUUUUUUCACUUAAUUCUGUAUUCUACGGAUUUCUAUUCUGUUUAUAGUUCAUUCAUUUAACACAAUGAAAAUAGUGUAUGUGACAACCAUUGCUGGAUUUUUAUUGCUAAGUAUAAUUAAUUUUUUGAAGAUGACCAACACUUCAUUAAUUUCUCUCUCCUUACUAAAAAUAGAAAAAAAAUUCAAAUUCUCCAAACUUAUUUUUUCCCCAAAUACUUUUUUCUAUCUACAUCUCGUAUAACUGGAUAUCUUUCAUGCUUAUUAGGAAAUCAUUGUACAAUAUCAUUCUGAGUUUUUAGACAUUUCUACCAAAUUUCAAGCAAACCUAACCAUAUGAUUUCAUUAUUAUCCAGUGAUUAAUAUCUACUUUUUAUUAGUUUUAGAAUUUUAGCAUAUGCUGGAUAUCUUAUUUCAAGAUCUUUGUGAGAAACUUCCCAGUUUUAAUUCUAAAAUAGUUAUUAUAUUUAAUCUUGCUUCUAUAGCUCUAGUUAAAAAAGUUGGAAGUUUCUGAAUUAUAAGGGAGUUUCAAAGCCAAAAACAUCCUAUCUCAGUAUCUUUUGUAGCUUUCAUAUGUGAUUGAAAAGUAUUAGAGGUUAAAAAAAUACUGCAUUCACUUCACCUUCCUUAAUGUAGUUUUAGAAUAUUGUUGAUUCAGUAUUGGAAAAAAUCAAGGGACUUAACUCUGCUGGUACACAUCUCAAGAAGAUAGAUUCCUGAAUGGUAAAUUCUGGUAUCUUCCACUAAGCCAUGUAUGCCCCCAUCCCUUUUUAAAAAGAAAAAAAAAAAAGUUAUUUAGAUACAGGGUCUCACUGAGUUGCUUAGGGCCUCACUAAGUUGCUGAGACUGGCUUUGAACUCAUGAUGCUCCUGCCUCAGCCUCCCAAGUCGCUGGGAUUACAGGCAGGCGUCACAGUGUCCAGCUUACAUUUACUCUUAAAUUUCUAUCUUAGUAAUAAUCGUAACUAUCAUUUAUUUUCACUGUGCAGCGCUGUUAAUUCGAUUUUUGUCAUUUCUUAUAGUUUUCCUUGUGAACUUUGCUUAAUUCUUGUUACAAAUGAGGAAACUAAUUACUAACCAAACAUCAUUUUACCAUUUUGUAGCACCAAAAUAUUUAUAUUAGACUUCAGACACAUUCUAAUUCAAAACACACUCAGGAUAAAGAAUUUUUGUCAAUCUAUACUUCAAUAAAGCAUUACUAAAAUCAUG
rnacentral:lncRNA from 1 species